rnacentral:ncRNA from 2 species
AGCAGCACGGGAGAGCGACCCGUUUGCUGGCAGACAAUCCAGUCCCCAUCGCACGGCAACUGUGGAUGGGGCUGGCUUUCUGCGCUUAACCCCGUCUUCCAAUAACGGUAAAGAUUCAGUGCAUUGCACUUGAUUGCAGAACUCGUCGGCAGCGUUAUGGAACGGACCGCAUCGCUCAGGGCGAACAAGUUUCUCCUCGCGGUUCCGUAGUCCCG